UACAGAGGGUGCGAGCGUUAAUCGGAAUUACUGGGCGUAAAGCGUGCGUAGACGGUUUCGUAAGUCGGGUGUGAAAUCCCCGGGCUCAACCUGGGAAUUGCAUUCGAAACUGCGAGGCUAGGGUACGGAAGAGGGAAGCGGAAUUUCUGGUGUAGCGGUGAAAUGCGUAGAUAUCAGAAGGAACAUCAGUGGCGAAAGCGGCUUCCUGGUCCAGUACCGACGUUCAGGCACGAAAGCCGUGGGGAGCAAACAGGA
rnacentral:rRNA from 1 species